UUAAUAAUAAUAAAAAAGGCCAGAAUGGGUGAAGAUGGAGAAGCUGGAUUAACAGGUCUAAUUCUUCCUUCACUGCCCUCAAGUGCGCGUUUUCAAAAAAAUUCAUCACUGGUAAAUGGUAGCAGUUAUUUAGUUGGCUGACCGAAACCAUUUAUAGUUUCUACGGAGCACAAUGUUCCAUGAAACUUCUGCAAUCAAUCUUCUUCGAAAAUUGCAACAAAAAUACAUACAACGGAAACUCAUCCAAUUUCAAUGGUUGCGAGAGCUAACGGAAUUGAGUGUGUUUGAAGUGAUUAUGGGUCCUAUGAGGAUGCUGAAUAACAGAAAGAAAGGACAGCAGAAGAAGUUUUGUUAACCUAUACCGUAUUUAUUAUAUCUAUAUUUACCAAUUUUUUUCUUGCCAUUCCAUACGAUAGAGCGAAUAGUUCGUAGUAGGUGUUUUUAACCCCCACGCGAUCUUAUUAUGGAUGGUCCAACCAGCAUUAUAUGAUUGGGAAUAACAUCACAAUAGGGGAUGAUGAUGAUGAUGAUGAUCGCCAUAACUGUUUCCAUACUCUUGGGAAAUGUUCAGAGCUUCGACGGCGGUAGUUUGUGUGAAGAGCUCAUUAUCCCCUCCGGUUACCCCUGCUCCGAGUAUACGAUUCAAACCAAGGAUGGUUUCUUGUUAGGUCUUCAGCGUGUGUCUUCUUCUUCUUCCCUUCGGCUUCGGAACCAUGGAGAUCGAGGCCCUCCGGUUCUGCUUCUGCAUGGAUUAUUCAUGGCAGGUGAUGCAUGGUUUCUAAAUACUCCGGAACAAUCACUUGGCUUCAUACUUGCAGAUCAUGGUUUUGAUGUUUGGGUAGGAAACGUGCGUGGAACACGCUGGAGCCAUGGACAUAUAUCUUUAUUAGAGAAGAAAAAGCAAUUUUGAGAUUGGAGUUGGCAGGAAUUAGCCCUGUAUGAUGUUGCGGAAAUGAUCAAUUACAUUAAUUCAGUAACAAACUCAAAGAUAUUUGUAGUUGGGCAUUCACAGGGGACAAUUAUAUCUUUGGCUGCCUUCACUCAACCGGAGAUAGUAGAAAAGGUUGAGGCUGCAGCUCUUCUAUCUCCAAUAUCAUACUUGGAUCAUGUCAGUGCACCUCUUGUACUUAGAAUGGUUAAGAUGCACAUUGAUGAGAUGAUUCUUACCAUGGGCAUUCAUCAACUAAACUUCAAAAGCGAAUGGGGGGCCAGUCUCUUGGUUUCCUUAUGUGAUACCCGCCUAAGUUGCAAUGACAUGCUUUCAUCCAUAACAGGGAAGAAUUGUUGCUUCAAUGAGUCACGUGUGGAGUUUUAUCUUGAACAAGAACCUCAUCCAUCAUCGUCUAAAAACUUGAACCACCUUUUCCAGAUGAUCCGCAAAGGUACCUACUCCAAGUAUGAUUAUGGAAAGCUAAAAAAUCUGAUAGAGUACGGCAAGUUCAAUCCACCAAAGUUCGAUCUUAGUCGCAUACCCAAAUCAUUGCCUCUGUGGAUGGCUUAUGGUGGAAAUGAUGCUCUGGCAGAUAUAACUGAUUUCCAGCACACACUCAAGGAAUUGCCAUCCCCACCGGAAGUGGUUUAUCUUGAAAACUAUGGUCAUGUUGACUUCAUUUUAAGCUUGCAAGCAAAAACAAGAUCUUUAUGACCCUAUGAUUAGUUUUUUCAAGUCAUCCGGAAAAUUUAGUAGUAUGUAAUGUUUGCUUCCUUCCGGUAUGAUGGAUGUAAUUACUGUAAUGGUCUACGGGUCCAUCUAUUACUGCACUUACUGUAAAGUUGAAAUAUUAAUAUUCUGUGGAGCCCACCUUGAUUUUCUGUAUGUAUAUAUGAUGGCAGAUAUAUAAAGAUCGGCGUCGCAUGGCCUGUUUCUGCAA